rnacentral:rRNA from 1 species
AGAUACCCUGGUAGUCAUGAGUUUGAUCCUGGCUCAGGAUUAGAUACCCUGGUAGUCAUGAGUUUGAUUACUCGCUCAGGAACGUACCCUUCGGUGCGGAAUAGGCCCUGGAAACGGGGUUUAAUACCGCAUACGCCCUUUUGGGGAAAGAUUUAUCGCCGAAGGAUCGGCCCGCGUUGGAUUAGGUAGUUGGUGGGGUAACGGCCUACCAAGCCGACGAUCCAUAGCUGGUUUUAGAGGAUGAUCAGCCACACUGGGACUGAGACACGGCCCAGACUCCUACGGGAGGCAGCAGUGGGGAAUCUUAGACAAUGGGCGCAAGCCUGAUCUAGCCAUGCCGCGUGAGUGAUGAAGGUCUUAGGAUCGUAAAGCUCUUUCGCUGGGGAAGAUAAUGACGGUACCCAGUAAAGAAACCCCGGCUAACUCCGUGCCAGCAGCCGCGGUAAUACGGAGGGGGUUAGCGUUGUUCGGAAUUACUGGGCGUAAAGCGCGCGUAGGCGGACUGGAAAGUUGGGGGUGAAAUCCCGGGGCUCAACCUCGGAACUGCCUCCAAAACUAUCAGUCUAGAGUUCGAGAGAGGUGAGUGGAAUUCCGAGUGUAGAGGUGAAAUUCGUAGAUAUUCGGAGGAACACCAGUGGCGAAGGCGGCUCACUGGCUCGAUACUGACGCUGAGGUGCGAAAGUGUGGGGAGCAAACAGGAUUAGAUACCCUUGG